GUAUAAGAGACAGCAGUCGCCGCGGGAAUACGAAGGGGGCUAGCGCUGUUCGGAAUUACUGGGCGUAAAGGGCGCGUAGGCGGCCAUUCAAGUUAGAUGUGAAAGCCCUGGGCUCAACCUAGGAAUUGCAUUUGAUACUGUUUGGCUUGAGUUCGGGAGAGGUGAGUGGAAUUCCCAGUGUAGAGGUGAAAUUCGUAGAUAUUGGGAAGAACACCAGUGGCGAAGGCGGCUCACUGGACCGACACUGACGCUGAGGCGCGAAAGCGUGGGGAGCAAACAGGAUUAGAUACCCCAGUAGUCCCUGUCUCUUAUAC
rnacentral:rRNA from 1 species